rnacentral:rRNA from 1 species
AGAGUUUGAUCAUGGCUCAGAUUGAACGCUGGCGGCAGGCCUAACACAUGCAAGUCGAACGGUAGCACAGAGGAGCUUGCUCCUUGGGUGACGAGUGGCGGACGGGUGAGUAAUGUAUGGGGAUCUGCCUGAUGGAGGGGGAUAACUACUGGAAACGGUAGCUAAUACCGCAUAAUGUCGCAAGACCAAAGAGGGGGACCUUCGGGCCUCUUGCCAUCGGAUGUGCCCAGAUGGGAUUAGCUUGUUGGUGAGGUAACGGCUCACCAAGGCGACGAUCCCUAGCUGGUCUGAGAGGAUGACCAGCCACACUGGAACUGAGACACGGCCCAGACUCCUACGGGAGGCAGCAGUGGGGAAUAUUGCACAAUGGGCGCAAGCCUGAUGCAGCCAUGCCGCGUGUAUGAAGAAGGCCUUCGGGUUGUAAAGUACUUUCAGUCGGGAGGAAGGUGUUAAGGUUAAUAACCUUGGCAAUUGACGUUACUCGCAGAAGAAGCACCGGCUAACUCCGUGCCAGCAGCCGCGGUAAUUC